CUAUUUCAUGAACUGCAUUAAGGUACUUCUGGGUACCUUUUCUUUCCCCUGAAUAUCGGACAUCUUUCCCUCACAAAGUCCGCGGUCAGCAGCAGAAUAAUUAAUUACGUCCUGCUGAAACAAUACAUGGCAUCCAGACGCAAUGAGGCAUUUGUCAGUAAAGCAUUUUGCGGCGAAUGUGAUCAUCAUCACCUGAUUAGGGACGUUUGUAAUCACAUGCUCCACACCUGCUUAAGUAUUUUCUGUGACUACCGUUUGAUUCAUCUUACACAUCAAACUGCUAUGCUGGUUUUCCCCAUUAGUGUGAUAAAAGGGAAGCCUUCACUGGGGCAAAUCGUAGUUUACAUUAUUAUGAUUAUGUCGUUUCUGGGUAGAUGGUUUUGUUUAAAGUGCUUAAAAUAUCUCAGGGACCCACACUUCUUUGGCAAAGGUGAAGAAAUUGUACCUCUGAUUGAGAUCGAUGCUGGCAAACCUUUAACUAGAGUUCAUCCACCAUUUAAAAUAAACAGGGUUCAGCCUGGCGAUUCUCAAGUUCGCCGUAGUUCAAGUUGAGAUGGUUUCUGCUGAUUGCUGAUUUGUUUAUUAGUGUUUCUGCUCUCGCUGCGGGUAGUUGGGUUGGAUCAAAAAGCACGCCCACGCCGAGCAUCUGAUCGGGACUCUGGAAGCACGACCUGCAGUGACGGUGUUUAGUCGGAGGACUCGGCCGUUGGAGGGGUCUCUUUACAGCUGCUGUGUUGGUUAGCUGUGACUCAUUUUGAUAAGGCUUCCAUGAAGCAUGGAAUCAUCUUCCAGCUGAUUGUCAGAGUCAUGUGAGCGGAGGCCGUCCCGGGCAGCACUGGCUCAAGGCUGGGGUUCACCCAGCAUGGCAUGCGGGUCCCGCAUGGGACGCAUCUCUGAGACAACAUGCAGCUGCACGUCUCUGCGAGAAACAUGCGAACUCCACAGAUAGAACGGAGGCGGGAUUCGAACCCCAGGAAUCCGAGGUCAAUUUCCCAAGACAAGCCUUCACCUGAGGCUUGGCAGAAGAGGAACAAAGGCUCGGAGUCAAAGGUUGACAUGUCAAGGACUUCCUGCCUCUUUCAUUGACGUGACGUUAAGGUCGUUCCAGCUUUGUUCCGCGAUGAUUACGCCAUACAUCAAGGCAGAGGGGUGUGUACUUUCUCAGAGCAUGGUCGCCCACAUGGCUUGGGGCCUUCAUGCAAGCCCGUGGAGUGAUUUCAACAUAGUCAGUGUUGUUCUCACCCCUGCUUAGGAUGGGGGGUGGGGUGAAAGGUGGUGGCGGAUUUGGAUGCCAGGAGCUCUUGGAACGUUCUGGAACGCGGCCCCCUCUGAUCUCUCCCGUGAGUGGAGCGGCGGCUGCUUCCAUGCCCGGACUUGCUCGGAGAUGGCAUUGCGGAGCAGAGGCGGCAGUUAUUUUUGGAUCUGUGUUGCAAACAACUUUUUUUUUGGGGGGGGGGGUGGUUGGGUGUUACCGGGGGUGAUCUUGUUCCCAUGGCUUCUUAAGCCUCGGUAUCACAGCAGACACCCCUGCUGUUCAUUCGCUGUAUAGUUCUCUGAAGAUCAGGACUGUAUGGAAUUGCUACAUCAAUGAUAUUCCUGGGUGUUUCCUGUUUUCAUGAUGCCUGCACUCAGACCCAGAAUAGCCAACCUUACAUACAUAACCUUCUGUUCUUUGUACACAGAUUCUGUACUGUGCGGCUUUGAACAAAACAGCUCGGAGCAAGUGCAUGUCAUGCGCUGAGUGGGAUGGAGCAGCAACCCAUGCAAUCUGACAGGUUGACGGUGGACUGUUGGGGUCUAAAACCAGCUCUUUCCUCCCAACACAGUCAAAAGUUCAGCACCAAUCUGAUGUGGAAC